rnacentral:lncRNA from 1 species
CUAGAUGCAGCCCAGAAGGGCGUGGGAGUAGCACCUGAGAAUAACGGUCUCCUUGUGCGGAUCUGGGGAGCCCCCUGCAGGGUGGCAACCAGAGGAAAGGGCCACAAUGUUCCACGGCCAAGGAGGAAAGAAGGAAUGCCCCUUUUCCCAUCUCUAGGUCUAACAUUCAAGAUCACUGGCCAGGCUGGAUGAAGUGGCUCACACCUGUAAUCCAGCACUUUGGGAGGCCGAGGUGGGAGGAUCCCUUGAGUGAAGCUGGACUCACCCACCUGGGCUGCCAUAGGAAA